GCCAGAGGAGGCGAUCGUUAUCCGGAGUCAUUGGGCGUAAAGGGUACGUAGGCGGCUAGUCAAGUCUGAGGUUAAAGACCACAGCUUAACUGUGGGAAGGCCUUGGAAACUGACUGGCUAGAGUGGGGCAGGGGUUGCGGGAAUUCCCGGUGUAGCGGUGAAAUGCGUAGAUAUCGGGAAGAACACCUGAGGCGAAAGCGCGCAACUGGGCCCUCACUGACGCUGAGGUACGAAAGCUAGGGGAGAGAAUGGG
rnacentral:rRNA from 1 species